GCGGCUAUAGUUUAGUGGUAAAAUGAGUGCUUCCCAAGCACUAGUCGGGAGUUCGAUUCUCCCUAGCCGCACAA
rnacentral:tRNA from 1 species